UACAUGUGGGGCAAGCGUUGUUCGGAAUUACUGGGCAUAAAGGGUGCGUAGGUGGUUUGUUAAGUCAGGGGUGAAAUCCCGCGGCCCAACCGUGGAACUGCCUUUGAUACUGGCGAACUUGAGUGCGUGAGGGGUAGGGGGAACGAGCAGUGUAGCGGUGAAAUGCGUAGAUAUUGCUCGGAAGGCCAGAGCCGAAGGGGCCCUACUGGUGCGUAACUGACACUGAGGCACGAAAGCGUGGGGAGCAAACAGG
rnacentral:rRNA from 1 species